CACGUAGUUAGCCGGGGCUUCUUCUGGAGGUACCGUCACCCUCUGGGCUGUUAACCCGAGUGGCUUCGUCCCUCCUGAAAGCGGUUUACAACCCGAAGGCCUUCUUCCCGCACGCGGCGUCGCUGCGUCAGGCUUUCGCCCAUUGCGCAAGAUUCCCCACUGCUGCCUCCCGUAGGAGUCUGGGCCGUGUCUCAGUCCCAGUGUGGCUGAUCGUCCUCUCAGACCAGCUAUGGAUCGUCGCCUUGGUGGGCCAUUACCCGCACCAACAAGCUAAUCCACCGCGGACCCAUCCUCGGCCAGAGGCCGAAGCUACCUUUUCCCACGUUCCCGCAGGGAUGUGGGGCUAUCCGGCAUUAAUCCGAGUUUCCCCGGGCUAUUCCGGUGCCGAGGGCAGGUUAUCCACGUGUUACUCACCCGUUCGCCGCUGUCCCCGGGACCGAAGUCCCGGUUCUCGCUCGACUUGCAUGUGUUAGGCGCGCCGCCAGCGUCGUCUCGUAGCACGGAGUCAACUAC
rnacentral:rRNA from 1 species